GGAUUAAUCUCCUUUCCAUCCUCGUCAACUUCAGCAGGUGCAAGCCCUGCUUUACGCGCUUCUUCCAAUUCAAUUUGCUUCCUAUGAUCCUCCCUAGACUUAAAUGCAACUGAUGCGGUUGCCAUGUUGGAUCCUGUAAACGCGAGAGACGCAAGCUCUACGAUUCCAGUAAAUAAUUUAGGAUAUAAUAAAACUAAAACACUGAAAUUGAACCCUAGAUUGAGAGAGACCUUGUGAUGAAACCUUAGAGG
rnacentral:misc_RNA from 1 species